rnacentral:rRNA from 1 species
CACACGACCGUACCGCAAACCGACACUGGUGCGCGAGAUGAGUAUUCUAAGGCGCUUGAGAGAACUCAGGAGAAGGAACUCGGCAAAUUGACACCGUAACUUCGGAAGAAGGUGUGCCUUUAGUAGGUGAAGUCCCUCGCGGAUGGAGCCGAGAAAGGUUGCAAAAAAUCGGUGGCUGCGACUGUUUAUUAAAAACACAGCACUCUGCAAACACGAAAGUGGACGUAUAGGGUGUGACGCCUGCCCGGUGCUGGAAGAUUAAAUGAUGGGGUGCAAGCUCUUGAUUGAAGUCCCAGUAAACGGCGGCCGUAACAAUAACGGUCCUAAGGUAGCGAAAUUCCUUGUCGGGUAAGUUCCGACCUGCACGGAUGGCGUAACGAUGGCCACACUGUCUCCUCCUGAGACUCAGCGAAGUUGAAAUGUUUGUGAUGAUGCAAUCUCCCCGCGGAAAGACGGAAAGACCCCAUGAACCUUUACUGUAGCUUUGUAUUGGACUUUGAACGGAUCUGUGUAGGAUAGGUGGGAGGCUUUGAAGUGCGGUCGCUAGAUCGCAUGGAGCCAACGUUGAGAUACCACCCUGGUGCGUUUGAGGUUCUAACCUAGGUCCAUUAUCUGGAUCGGGGACAGUGCAUGGUAGGCAGUUUGACUGGGGCGGUCUCCUCCCAAAGUGUAACGGAGGAGUUCGACGGUACGCUAGUUACGGUCGGACAUCGUGACGAUAGUGCAAUGGCAUAAGCGUGCUUAACUGCGAGACUGACAAGUCGAGCAGAUGCGAAAGCAGGACAUAGUGAUCCGGUGGUUCUGUAUGGAAGGGCCAUCGCUCAACGGAUAAAAGGUACUCUGGGGAUAACAGGCUGAUACCGCCCAAGAGUUCAUAUCGACGGCGGUGUUUGGCACCUCGAUGUCGGCUCAUCUCAUCCUGGGGCUGUAGCCGGUCCCAAGGGUAUGGCUGUUCGCCAUUUAAAGAGGUACGUGAGCUGGGUUUGAAACGUCGUGAGACAGUUUGGUCCCUAUCUUCCGUGGGCGCUGCAGAUUUGAGGAAGCCUGCUCCUAGUACGAGAGGACCGGAGUGGACACACCUCUGGUGUAUCGGUUGUCACGCCAGUGGCAUUGCCGAGUAGCUAUGUGUGGAAGAGAUAACCGCUGAAAGCAUCUAAGCGGGAAACUCGUUUCAAGAUGAGAUCUGCCGGGGCCUUGAGCCCCCUGGAGAGUCGUUCUAGACCAGGACGUUGAUAGGCUGGGUGUGGAAGCGCAGUAAUGCGUUAAGCUAACCAGUACUAAUUGCUCGUGCGG